UACGUAGGUGGCAAGCGUUGUCCGGAUUUACUGGGCGUAAAGAGCGCGCAGGCGGUCGUUCAAGUCGCGUGUGAAAGCCCCCGGCUCAACUGGGGAGGGUCACGCGAUACUGAUCGACUCGAAGGCAGGAGAGGGUAGUGGAAUUCCCGGUGUAGUGGUGAAAUGCGUAGAUAUCGGGAGGAACACCAGUGGCGAAGGCGGGUUGCUGGGCUGACACUGACGCUGAAGCGCGAAAGCUAGGGGAGCGAACAGG
rnacentral:rRNA from 1 species